CCUACGGUGUGCAGCAGUGGGGAAUAUUGCGCAAUGGGCGAAAGCCUGACGCAGCGACGCCGCGUGAGUGAUGAAGGUCUUCGGAUCGUAAGCCUCUGUCAGCAGGGAAGAACGGUCGCUGUGCUAAUAAGCAGUGCAUUGACGGUACCUGCAAAGGAAGCACCGGCUAACUCCGUGCCAGCAGCCGCUGUAAUACGGAGGGUGGGAGCGUUAAUCGGAAUUACUGGGCGUAAAGCGCUCGUAGGCGGUAUGUCAAGUCAAGGGUGAAAUCCCCGCGCGAACCGUGGGAACUGCCUUUGAAACUGGCAAACUGGAGUGUGUGAGAGGAUAGUGGAAUUCCAGGUGUAGGAGUGAAAUCCGUAGAUAUCUGGAGGAACAUCAGUGGCGAAGGCGACUAUCUGGCACAUAACUGACGCUGAGGAGCGAAAGCGUGGGUAGCAAACAGGAUUAGAUACCCUAGGAGUC
rnacentral:rRNA from 1 species